rnacentral:rRNA from 1 species
UACGUAGGGAGCAAGCGUUUGUCCGGAAUCAUUGGGCGUAAAGCGCGCGUAGGUGGCUUCGUAAGUCCGUUGUGAAAGUCAAAGGCUCAACCUUUGAAUGCCGAUGGAUACUGCGGAGCUAGAGUACGGAAGAGGCGAGUGGAAUUCCUGGUGUAGCGGUGGAAUGCGCAGAUAUCAGGAGGAACACCAAUAGCGAAGGCAGCUCGCUGGGACGUUACUGACACUAAGGCGCGAAAGCGUGGGGAGCGAACAGG